rnacentral:rRNA from 1 species
UACGAAGGGGGCUAGCGUUGCUCGGAUUGACUGGGCGUAAAGGGCGCGUAGGCGGUUUGCAUAGUCAGACGUGAAAUUCCUGGGCUUAACCUGGGGGCUGCGUUUGAUACAUGCAGGCUUGAGUUCGGAAGAGGGUCGUGGAAUUCCCAGUGUAGAGGUGAAAUUCGUAGAUAUUGGGAAGAACACCGGUGGCGAAGGCGGCGAGCUGGUCCAUUACUGACGCUGAGGCGCGAAAGCGUGGGGAGCAAACAGG